CCCGAGCGGGCCGGCGCCCACGCAGCCCGCCCGGCCCCGCCGCGCGCGCUUCGCCAGGUUCGCGCGCCGGCGCCGGUCGGGCAGGCGCAGAGGUGGCGCGCGAGCCCGCGACCGCAGCCCACCUGGCGGCGGCGCUCCCAGCUUCCUCCUCCCGGCUCUCGCUCAGCGAGCUCUCGCUCUGCUCGCGCUCUUCCAGCCGCGGCGGCUCGCAGCUCCCGCGGGUUUCGUUCAGCCCGCGUGCCCCGUCCCUAGGUUGAGUUAAUUAAGAGAAGGUCUCCAUGGAAACGGUUGACACCUAAGAUUUCCACCCCUGGAAUUCACACCCUGUAUAAUCCGCACCCCCACCCCUGAGGUGGACCUGUAAAAAUGACGAGAUCAUCACUUCCAUGAUUAUGUUAUUUGUACAAGACUUCACUGUACCAGAACAAAAGAGACUUUCUCCUGCUGACUUUGAAGAAGUAAGUUGUCAUGAUGUGAGAGGGCCAGGUGGUUAGAACAUGAGCCUUGCCUCCUGGGGGCUGAAGAGUGUGCCCCAGUCUACAGCCAGCCAGAACACAGGGAUCUCAGUCCUACAAUCACAAGGAACUUAAAUGUGCCAGUAACUUGAAUGAGCCUGGAAAAAGAGGACCCACAGCUUCAGAUGAGAUCACAGUCCCAACUAACAACUUGAUUUCAACGUGGUGAGAACCUGAGCAGAGCCCAGACUCCUGAUUCACAGAAACCAUCGGAUAAUAAAUGUUUGGAUUCAAGACAUGGAAUUUGUGGUACUUUGUUUCACAGCAAUAGAAAACUAAUACUUGCCCAACAAUUAACAUGAUUGCAAGCUUGGGCAGUCAUUGGGCAGAAGUUUCUAACUAGAGCUCAGGGAAAAGAUGGCCUGUCCUCUUUGUUGGAAAACAUACUAAAGGCAGUUUCAUCAAAGCUGCUGUGUUCGUAUAUACAAAGUUGCAGUGGCCAAAGUUGGCACAUGGGAUCCUGGGAAUGCAGUAGAAGAAAAUGAAGUUGGCAGAGAAAGAGAUAAAUGCAUUUAAGUCCUGGCAUUUCAUUUGUUCCUGCCCAUCUCAAACUUGGUUAUCUCAAAUUUUUAAAUUCUGUGCAAGAUAUUCUUUGCAGAGUCACCCAUCCUUCCCAGGAUUAGUAAGUAAAAUCAUUGAUCCCAGAUAUCCUAGUUCCAGAGGCUGUUUUCCUAACCAUUAAUCACAUAAAGAGCUAUAGAAUAUCCUUUACCCAUUGAUUAAAUAAUUAAUUUCAUCUUAUUUGAUACAAGUUAUAGCAGCUGCAGAUUGAGAAAAUGAACAUAACUACAAAAAGUAUAGGUAUUCAGGUACUACUUUUAGCACAAGGUCUAAUAUAUUUAUAUCCUAUAGACUUUGUCUAAAGCUAAAUAAAUGUUGAUUUUAAUCUAUGCUGUUCAACAUUACAUACAUUUGGUUAAGCAUGUGUUAUCCUAAUAGUAGAGUCAUGUUAUUUUCUCAAGACUCCUUUGCAAAAAUUUGUAGACCUGUUGUAUAAUGUUGAUAUUUGAAUCUCAGAGUUUGUACUGUUCUAAAAUAUAAAAACAAAACAAAAUUCAUGAACUAAAAUUGUAUAAGAGAACAAAACUGA